UCACAUACAAUAUAGAAAUACACCUACAUAUACAAUAUUAAUACAUGUAAUAUGCUAAGUUAAUAAUCUUUCACAUACUACAAAAUACACCUACAUAUACAAUAUGAACAUGUAAGAUGUUAAGCUAAAUAUCUUUCAUAUAUACUGCAGAAGUAAAUACACCCAUAUAUGCAAUAUGAACACAUAUGCUAUUAAGUUAAAUAACUUUCACAUAUGUAUGCUACAGAAAUAAACACACUCACAUACACAAUAUGAACAUAUAAGAUGCCAUUGGGAGAAAGUUGAGAAAUAGAGAACUAACAAAAUCUUGUAUUUCACAUGUGAUGAAUUCCAGCAGAUAAAGGGAACUAAGUGAUAAAAUGCAGCACUUAAGGUGAUAAACAGUGGACUACAGGGGGCUGGGAAAUGCUUUUCCAUUCAGGACACCUGUUUCUUUUUGUUAAUCCCACAGCCCAUGGGAUGCUGCCUCCCAUACUCAGAAUGCCUUUGGUCCUCAACAGAACCCUUCUGAAAACAACCUUAUAGACAGUCAGAGGUGAGUUCCCUUGAUGAUUUCAAUUCUGUCAAGUUCACCAGCAAAAUUGGUGACCACACAUCCCAUGUAAAUGAGAAAUAGUGGAGCAUAUCUGAAUAUCCUUAUUAUAGUUACUGUUUUUCCCCAAAGUUUAGGCAAGAAAAUAUCAGUACAGAUUCCUCCUCAUUCCAUAAGUGUGUUUUUCAAGAUUUUAAACAAACAACCACCUGUCAGAAAGUGAGGAAAAUUGGAGCAUCCUAUACGAGCCAUAGCAUCUCCUCCACCCUGCUUUGUAUGCUGAACUUCUACGAGAAGCUUACUAUUGGGGCCAACAGACAUGUUUUAAAACUCUGCAUCAUGAAAGUCCUCUGUGCUUCAGUACAGCAUGUGGACACAAACAUAGAAAAGUCUAUGAUGUUCAUGUUAAGACCUCCAAAUUGUCAACUCAAAGAAUAAUUUGGCUGGAUUAUUAUUUCAGUAACCCUGGGUUAGAUCAACUCAGACUUGCCCAAGUGUUCACAUGAUAAUGACAGUGUAGUUUAAUAUCAAUGACCUCUUAUUAUUUGCCUUCUUAUUCAGGGGUAUUCCAGAAUGAGUCAAGGGCACAGGUAUGUAGUGAAGGCCCUGAAAGAAAGUUUCAGGAAAAGAGAAGCUAUUUUCUCAUUCCUGCAGUCUGAUGAUACCAGAGCUGGGAGGGCAUGCAUGUUAGAGAAUACUCCAUUGAUGGACAUGCAUGCCCAUGUGCUGUGAUAUACAUAUGUGUGGUUCUUAUAACAUACCCCCUGUUUCCAGUAACUCUCCAGAAAGUCUAGCUGUGGUCAUUUCCUAAGUUUGCAGUACUUCUUUUGCAUUGUUGCUAACCUUUUGGGUUUUCACACAAUCACUGUUAAAGUUUAAAUACAAAGAAGACCACAAAAUGUUCAGCAGACUUAGCAAUAUAGAGGUUAUUAGAGAACAAAUGAGAACUUAAGAACAUCUUCAUCUCAGGUGGGCUUUGAUCAUAGCAUGGAGAGAGAGAAGCCUUGAGGCCCUUUUGGGACUUGAAACUUUUGUUUGGGGGCAACUAUUCAAGAUCAGGUGGUUUAAGAUGAUAGAGAAGUGAGUCUCUAGAGGGAGAGAAACCUAAAAUCCCAGGCAGAUAGUUUGGCUAAAAUAGUAAACAAUGACCACAAUGGAUUUAUUGAAGGACUAACCCAACAUUCACACAGGAAGGGUAAAGUCUUUGAUUUGAAAUUUUAAUUUAAUGAUUUCAACCUUAGCCUUGUGCUGCUGGGGCUUACACAUAAGAUGUGCACACAGAUGUGUAAAACUAAAACAAUAUCAGUGUUAAGAGUCUGAUCCUGUCCUUUUGCUCAGUCUUUUAUGUUUGAUCUUGUAUAGGAUAAAUGGUUUAUUCUAGAAUAUUUCAUUGAGAUAAAUCAAUAAAGCAUAUGAUCUGUCUUUUUAGGUAUUAACC
rnacentral:lncRNA from 1 species